AACCAAACGACCCAAGUAUUCUUCACCCAAAACCUAAAAUCCCUAAUCUUCCCAUUUCAACCAAAUGAACCUUAACGUAACCAGCCCUUUCUUCAACCUUCAACAUAAACAUAGCAAUAUCCCACAAAAUCCGCUACCUACACCCCUCUUCUCCUUUCUCACACUCCAUCUCUGAAGCUUGCAGGCUCCAUGUGCGAUUUCAGCGGAUUUCAGGAAGAUUCGGAGACUCGAGACGACAACAAGCCUCAGUUCGUUGUCACGGAGAAGGUAAUCACACUCGUCCUCUCUUCGUCUUUCAUUUUAUAAGAAGUAGAAAUGUAGUCGUUCAAGUAUUUCUUGUCGUUUAUUUGGUUUAGUUGGCUGCUGGAAUAUGUGUUCUCCUCGUUUGUUGUAAAUUAGCUUGAAACGACUAAUUUCGUCGAAUGUGUGUUUAACUCCCGUCGCUGCCGUCAAAAGAUAAUAUUUGAAGCCCAUUUUAUUCCUAUCAUUCAUUUUCGCAUUAGCACAUAAGUGUUUAUUUUGGUUUGUUUUGAGAAGAUUUUUUUUAAAAUAUGUAGCCUAAUGUUGGCAGAAAAGUGGUUGCUGCACUUAAACUAAGAAGGAUUGCCACUGCUAUUUGUUGAUGUAUUGGCAUGAGUCUACUAUAAUUGGGGCAAAGUUGCCACUGCCUUUGAGAUGCCACACUUUGAGACUUCUAGAUGAUGUUGCAUCAUAGGCUGUUUGCUCCAAGGACAACUUGAGUUCCCAGGAGCUUUACUGUUGCACUUUGGCGAUAACCUUGCUGUUUUUCCUACUUGCUAUUUAUUGAUGUUGUUUUGCUGCUACAUCUUGGUGCAAGGGUUGCUGUGCCUUAGGCAUAUUUUACUGCAUAUUUUUUUUUAGUUAAACUAGUACUGCUACUUGGUUGCUGGUUGCCCCCUUACCUUUGCGGCUACUGCUGCUGCUAUAUUGUCCUCAUAGAUGUUGUGCCCCAUCUCCUCUCAAGAACAAAUACUACACUUGAUAGGAAAUGGUUGCUCCCAUAUUUAUUAUGACCUAUUGUUGCUGUUUUCUCUGUUGUUAUCACUGUUUGCCCUGUGUUGCUGCCCAUUUUGGGAUAAGCUUUCCACUUCCAUGUUGUUGCUAUUUGUUGUUGUUGGGCUGCCCUGUUGGUGACCAUUUUAAGCCUAAUGACUGAUGUACUUAGCCAAAGCUCGCUGGUGUAUUUUGGGAAAAAUCGACUAAUGUGUUUAAAUUUCAAGGUACUAUAAUUUUCGCUAUAAAUUUUCUGCCAAACACGAGUAGAUGCUCCACUUAGCUGCUGGUUCGUAUCGUUAUACUUCGAGGCCGAAUGGCUGACUAUAGUUGACAUCCAACUGCUGCAUAUUGCAGUAGAUCUCAAUAAAAUUUGGGAUUUCCAUUUGAAGCUCGUAUGUUACUUAAUAGUUGCUGCGUUUUUGGCCAUUUUCUACUGUGUCCUUAGGCCAUUUGUUGCUGCAUUUUAGACCCUUUGCUACUGCAUUUGUGGCCAUUUUCACUUCAUUUUGGGACUGAUUUACUGCCUGCAUUUUGGCCAACUGAUUGCUGCAUUUUUGUGGCUGAAAAUGCCACAUUCUUGAGAGACAUUUAGAACCAAACAGUUACUGCAAUUUAUACCUAGUGUUGCUGCACUUUUGGGGACUGAUUUAAACCAAACAGUGGCUGCAUUUACUGCUGCAUUUUUGCUGAAAGUUGCUGCCAUAAACAUGGUAUUUCAAGCAAAAUUUGAAGUUAAGUAAUUGCUGCGUUUAGGCCAAAUAGUUUUUGCAUCUUAAGCCAAGUUGUAGCUGCACUUCAAGGCAAGCACAACGCUGCAUUAUGAGCCGAAUCGCUGAGGCAUUUCAAGGCAAGAAGAUGUCGCGUUUUGAGCCGAAGUACUACUGCGAUCUAUGGCGAACAGAUGUUACACUUGAGCUGCAUUUGAUGAACUACUACUACUACAUUUAAAUGAGUUUCGUUUCUCCACUUUAUGAGCUGUUUGUUGUGCAUGAAUGGCUGCAUUUUAAGCAAGUAUAUGAGGUCUUUGGGGAUAGAACACCUGCUGAAUUUUUGGGCAUUUUCGAGGUUCAAAAUGUUAUACUCUUGGCUGUAUUUUUUGGUUAUUCACUGCUGCAUUGUUGGCUGUUUCACUGCUAAUGUUUUUGGCCCAACAACUGCUGCCUUUUAAGGAUGAAAUAAGUUACUUUCUUGAGGCAACAUUUCUUAAAAAAAAACAGAUUCCUAUACCUGAUGAAAGUUCACUGAUUUGAACACGAUACUACGCUUGGGCUGAUGAAGAGUUGUUUAACUUGAGGCCUCACUUUUAAAAGAACAGAUUUCCAUACUUGAUUGAAAGUUUACUGAUUUGAACACUUAAAACUUGCAUAAAAAGGGAGUGGGGCUGCUAUAUUCAAGUUCGGGUGCAAUUAAUAUGCUAACUUAUUUUUUCCUCAUUUGAACCUAGAGAAAAAAAUGCUAAGUAUCUCUGGAUAUAUAUUGUUUGGGAAUAAGCCAAUAUGAUGUUUUGAAGUCUGAGUAAGCUUUAGUUUAAUCAAAAGUUCUUGUUGUACAUUUAGCUUGAAGCAUUUGGUUGUUUGAGUAGCAAUUGGGACUACAAUGAUCUUCUUUUAAACUGAUCGUGGUGUUGCGUUUUGAGAAUAUGACACGAGAAAGCCUUGUCUUACAUUUGAUUCUUUUAUCUAGCUUUUAUUAAUUAAAGUUAUAUAGACUUCUUUUUUCCUUGUUGAGAAUUGUUUCUAAUCCUUAUCUUUAUUUUUUUUUCUUUUCUUUUUCAUGAGGAACUUUGGGACCAUUUGGUGGAGUGGCAACUCCGGAUUCUGCCCAUAUUAGAGAACAGCCAGUUGCAAGAUUUAAUUGCUCGUGUCUAGCGUCCCCAUCUUCCUUCCUCUCUUUAAAUUUCGUGUCUUCGUGUUAUCAUGUAUAUCAUGUUUAUAUUCUUGACUAACAUUUUUUUUUUGGAUUGUAUUUGUAGCGUAUUUAUUUCUUGUUUGUGUAUGAACCUGCGAAAAAAAUGGUUAAGUAUAACAAUAAGUUUAGUUGCUUCCCCCCCUCCCUCCCAUCCCCUUUGGUAUAA